rnacentral:tRNA from 1 species
GGCGGCGUAGCCAAGUGGUAAGGCAGUGGACUGCAAAUCCACUAUGCAUCGGUUCAAAUCCGAUCGCCGCCUCCA